UGGGGAAUCUUGCACAAUGGGGGAAACCCUGAUGCAGCGACGCCGCGUGAGCGAUGAAGGUUUUCGAAUCGUAAAGCUCUGUCCUAUGGGAAGAUAAUGACGGUACUAUAGGAGGAAGCCCCGGCUAACUACGUGCCAGCAGCCGCGGUAAUACGUAGGGGGCGAGCGUUGUCCGGAAUUACUGGUCGUAAAGGGUUCGCAGGCGGCGUGACAAGUCCGAUGUAAAAGGCGAAAGCUCAACUUGCGUAAGCAGCGGAAACUGUCAAGCUUGCGUGAAGGAGAGGCAGGUGGAAUUCCUAGUGUAGCAGUGGAAUGCGUAGAUAUUAGGAGGAGUACCAGUGGCGAAGGCGACUUGCUGGACUUCAACUGACGCUGAGGAACGAAAGCGUGGGUAGCAAACAGG
rnacentral:rRNA from 1 species